UCAAGUCUUUAAGAGCAAACGGUGGAUGCCUUGGCAUCUGGAGCCGAAGAAGGACGUAGCAAUCUGCGAUAAGCCUCGGGGAACUGAUAAGCAAGUUUUGAUCCGAGGGUGUCCGAAUGGGGAAACCCCGCUGGGCGGCGUGCCGACCUAGUGACUCCCGCCUGAAUAUAUAGGGCGGGUAGAGGGAACGUGGGGAAGUGAAACAUCUCAGUACCCACAGGAAGAGAAAGCAACCGCGAUUCCGUUAGUAGUGGCGAGCGAAACCGGAUCAGGCUAAACCGAGUGUGUGUGAUAUCCGGCAGGAGUUGCAUAUUCGGGGUUGUGGGACUCACCUGUCAUCUCUGCCGAGGUGGCGACGUUACAGAAGCGUAUAGACGAACGGUCUUGAAAGGCCGGUCAUAGAGGGUGCCAACCCCGUAGUCGAAAUGCGUGUUCUGGCGUGGAGAGUAUCCCAAGUAGCACGGGGCCCGAGAAAUCCCGUGUGAAUCUGUCAGGACCACCUGAUAAGCCUAAAUACUUCCAGAUGACCGAUAGCGGACAAGUACCGUGAGGGAAAGGUGAAAAGUACCCCGGGAGGGGAGUGAAAUAGUACCUGAAACCGUUUGCUUACAAACCGUUGGAGCCUCCUUAGUAGGGGUGACAGCGUGCCUUUUGAAGAAUGAGCCUGCGAGUUAGUGAUAUGUGGCGAGGUUAACCCGUGUGGGGUAGCCGUAGCGAAAGCGAGUCUGAAUAGGGCGAUUCAGUCGCAUGUCCUAGACCCGAAGCGAAGUGAUCUAUCCAUGGCCAGGUUGAAGCGUGUGUAAGAGCACGUGGAGGACCGAACCCACUUAGGUUGAAAACUGAGGGGAUGAGCUGUGGAUAGGGGUGAAAGGCCAAUCAAACUUCGUGAUAGCUGGUUCUCUCCGAAAUGCAUUUAGGUGCAGCGUUGCGUGUUUCUUGCCGGAGGUAGAGCUACUGGAUGGCCGAUGGGCCCUACAAGGUUACUGACGUCAGCCAAACUCCGAAUGCCGGUAAGUGAGAGCGCAGCAGUGAGACUGUGGGGGAUAAGCUUCAUAGUCGAGAGGGAAACAACCCAGACCACCAACUAAGGUCCCUAAGCGCGUGCUAAGUGGGAAAGGAUGUGGAGUUGCUGUGACAACCAGGAGGUUGGCUUAGAAGCAGCCACCCUUGAAAGAGUGCGUAAUAGCUCACUGGUCAAGUGAUUCCGCGCCGACAAUGUAACGGGGCUCAAGCACGCCACCGAAGUUGUGGCAUUGACAUUAUUGGUAGGCCUUCGUGGUCCAGCCGUGUUGAUGGGUAGGAGAGCGUCGUGUGGCCAGCGAAGCGGCGGAGUGAUCCAGCCGUGGAGGCUACACGAGUGAGAAUGCAGGCAUGAGUAGCGAAAGACGUGUGAGAAACACGUCCUCCGAAAGACCAAGGGUUCCAGGGUCAAGCUAAUCUUCCCUGGGUAAGUCGGGACCUAAGGCGAGGCCGACAGGCGUAGUCGAUGGACAACGGGUUGAUAUUCCCGUACCGGCGAAGAACCGCCCAAGCUAAUCCAGUGGUGCUAAGUAUCUGAAUCCUCAUGACCGGAUCCCUUCGGGGUGAUGGGGUGAGGCCUAGCGUACGACCCCAUGCUGGUGCGGUUAGCGUAUUAACAGGUGUGACGCAGGAAGGUAGUCCAAGCCAGGCGAUGGUAGUCCUGGUGCAAGUGCGUAGGCCGAGUCGUAGGCAAAUCCGCGACUCGCAUAGGCUGAGACACGAUGCGGAUAAAAAGUGGAUGAUCCUAUGCUGCCAAGAAAAGCAUCGACGCGAGGUUCUAGCCGCCCGUACCCCAAACCGACUCAGGUGGUCAGGUAGAGAAUACCAAGGAGAUCGAGAGAAUCGUGGUUAAGGAACUCGGCAAAAUGCCCCCGUAACUUCGGGAGAAGGGGGGCCAUCCACUUAUACCCACUUGCUGGGAAAAGGGUGUGGUGGCCGCAGAGACUAGUGGGUAGCGACUGUUUACUAAAAACACAGGUCCGUGCCAAGUCGCAAGACGAUGUAUACGGACUGACGCCUGCCCGGUGCUGGAAGGUUAAGAGGACCGGUUAGCCGCAAGGCGAAGCUGAGAAUUUAAGCCCCAGUAAACGGCGGUGGUAACUAUAACCAUCCUAAGGUAGCGAAAUUCCUUGUCGGGUAAGUUCCGACCUGCACGAAUGGCGUAACGACUUCCCAACUGUCUCAACCGCGAACUCGGCGAAAUUGCAUUACGAGUAAAGAUGCUCGUUACGCGCAGCAGGACGGAAAGACCCCGUGACCUUUACUACAGCUUUGUAUUGGUGUUCGGUGUGGCUU
rnacentral:rRNA from 1 species